GACGAACGCUGGCGGCGUGCCUAAUACAUGCAAGUAGAACGCUGAAGGAGGAGCUUGCUUCUCUGGAUGAGUUGCGAACGGGUGAGUAACGCGUAGGUAACCUGCCUGGUAGCGGGGGAUAACUAUUGGAAACGAUAGCCAAUACCGCAUAAGAGUAGAUGUUGCAUGACAUUUGCUUAAAAGGUGCAAUUGCAUCACUACCAGAUGGACCUGCGUUGUAUUAGCUAGUUGGUGAGGUAACGGCUCACCAAGGCAACGAUACAUAGCCGACCUGAGAGGGUGAUCGGCCACACUGGGACUGAGACACGGCCCAGACUCCUACGGGAGGCAGCAGUAGGGAAUCUUCGGCAAUGGACGGAAGUCUGACCGAGCAACGCCGCGUGAGGGAAGAAGGUUUUCGGAUCGUAAAGCUCGGUUGUAAGAGAAGAACGAGUGUGAGAGUGGAAAGUUCACACUGUGACGGUAUCUUACCAGAAAGGGACGGCUAACUACGUG
rnacentral:rRNA from 1 species